GCCGGGCGUGGUGGCGCACACCUGUAAUCCCAGCUACUCGGGAGGCUGAGGCAGGAGAUUCACUUGAACCCAGGAGGCGGAAGUUGCAGCGAACAGAGAUUUUGCCACUGCACUCCAGCCUGGGUGAUAGAGUAAGACUCAGCCUCAA
ensembl:misc_RNA Metazoa_SRP Metazoan signal recognition particle RNA